GGCUGGGCCGGAUGUGAGGGCGAAGCCAUGUCCCCUCAGCACAGACGGGGCGGAGCGGGAUGGGAGGGCACCGCCUGGCUUUGGGACAGCUCGAGGCCGCGUCCGUGCGUCCCCAGCGGUUGUUGCUGCGCCAGAUCUGCAGCUUCAUAGAAAACACCCCGGUGUCUUUCGCCCAAAACAGGGACCCCUCCCAGCCUCUCUGUAAGUCCUACCUUGAAAAAUUGGUCAGAGGCUCUUUCUGGCAUCUGCAGAGGUUCUCUGAGGUUCACUUCAGCCAGUAAAGAAUUCCUUCUCCUUAACUGCUGUUGCCGUUGCUGCUGCUGAGAGUGCUGGUAGAGGCCAGAGGAUUCAGUGGAGGAGGCACAUAGGGCAGCGGUGGGAGUGGAGAGGGACAGGGAAGGAAAGAAGCGAGGGAGGAGAGC